AUUGAACGCUGGCGGCAGGCUUAACACAUGCAAGUCGAGCGGAGAUGAGGUGCUUGCACCUUAUCUUAGCGGCGGACGGGUGAGUAAUGCUUAGGAAUCUGCCUAUUAGUGGGGGACAACAUACCGAAAGGAAUGCUAAUACCGCAUACGUCCUACGGGAGAAAGCAGGGGAUCUUCGGACCUUGCGCUAAUAGAUGAGCCUAAGUCGGAUUAGCUAGUUGGUGGGGUAAAGGCCUACCAAGGCGACGAUCUGUAGCGGGUCUGAGAGGAUGAUCCGCCACACUGGGACUGAGAAACGGCCCAGACUCCGACGGGAGGCAGCAGUGGGGAAUAUUGGACAAUGGGGGGAGCCCUGAUCCAGCCAUGCCGCGUGUGUGAAGAAGGCCUUAUGGUUGUAAAGCACUUUAAGCGAGGAGGAGGCUACUGAGACUAAUACUCUUGGAUAGUGGACGUUACUCGCAGAAUAAGCACCGGCUAACUCUGUGCCAGCCGCCGCCGUAACAC
rnacentral:rRNA from 1 species